AAUGAACGCUGGCGGCAUGCCUUACACAUGCAAGUCGAACGGCAGCAUGACCUAGCUUGCUAGGUUGAUGGCGAGUGGCGAACGGGUGAGUAAUGCAUCGGAACGUGCCUUUUAGUGGGGGAUAACGUAGCGAAAGUUACGCUAAUACCGCAUAUUCUCUGCGGAGGAAAGCAGGGGACCUUCGGGCCUUGCGCUAGAAGAGCGGCCGAUGUCGGAUUAGCUAGUUGGUGAGGUAAAGGCUCACCAAGGCAACGAGCCGUAGCGGGUGUGAGAGGAGGAUACGCCACACUGGGACGGAGACACGGCCCAGACUCCUACGGGAGGCAGCAGUGGGGAAUGUUGGACAAUGGGCGCAAGCCUGAUCCAGCCAUGCCGCGUGAGUGAAGAAGGCCUUCGGGUUGUAAAGCUCUUUCGGCUGGGAAGAAAUCGCACCCUCUAAUACAGGGUGUGGAUGACGGUACCAGCAUAAGAAGCACCGGCUAACUACGUG
rnacentral:rRNA from 1 species